CAUGAAAGCUGGAAAUGGCCCACUAAUUAUUUCUUAAGAAAAAAAGGAUUCCAUGAGCUUGGAUUGUGUCUAACUCUGGACCAGGAAUUUCCAACGAGUCUAGCGUGUAAUCCACGGCACAAGGCCCUGUAAAGCGCUAUUUGAGGAGGGGCACGACGGAUCGACCUGUCCAGUGAUGCGCAUUGAUGAAGAGGA